rnacentral:misc_RNA from 1 species
AUAAUAGUGCUAACGGAUAAGUAAUAUCCUUUUUCCUUACAGAAAGUCUGUGGUCGCUGUGAACAGAUAGGAAAUCUGAUAUGAAAUUCUACCGUGUUGCAAACAGAAUAAGGAUUAAGUGCACAGAUUGUGAAGCUGGAUGGGACCGCGCCAAAGCGCUCCAGCA